UGGGGAAUAUUGCGCAAUGGGCGAAAGCCUGACGCAGCGACGCCGCGUGAGGGAUGAAGGUUUUCGGAUCGUAAACCUCUGUCAGAAUGGAAGAAACCGCACUGUGCUAAUCAGCAGUGCCUUGACGGUACCUUCAAAGGCAGCACCGGCUAACUCCGUGCCAGCAGCCGCGGUAAUACGGAGGGUGCAAGCGUUAAUCGGAAUUACUGGGCGUAAAGCGCACGUAGGCUGCUUUGUAAGUCAGGGGUGAAAUCCCACGGCUCAACCGUGGAACUGCCUUUGAUACUGCUUAGCUUGAAUCCGGGAGAGGGUGGCGGAAUUCCAGGUGUAGGAGUGAAAUCCGUAGAUAUCUGGAGGAACAUCAGUGGCGAAGGCGGCCACCUGGACCGGUAUUGACGCUGAGGUGCGAAAGCGUGGGGAGCAAACAGG
rnacentral:rRNA from 1 species